UUUGUAGCUCAAGUUAUGGCCAAAUUACCAUAACUGGCUGUAUUAGUCUCUACCCACAAUUUCUGGGCAAAACUAGUUCUAGCAGGUUAGGGGUCCUGACUUUGGCUAGCAUUUCGGAUGGGUUAUGGUCAAGAUUUGAGGUGGUGUUCUUCAUGAAAGUUGUCCUAAAUCGUCUAAGCUUUCUAUUAAUAUAAAAUUUAGGUCAAUUGAACAUUUCUACACUAAGUUAUGACAAUUUGAACAAACACUGUUCAUUUGGU
rnacentral:misc_RNA from 1 species